GUCUUGCUGCAGCGGGAGCCGAUUUCCAGCGGCUUCGGGAUGGUCUCGGCGCCGGGCAGCUCUGUGGAAAGAAAAUAAAAAGAGCCUCGUUGGAGAUGGCGGCGCCACCUAUGUCAGAGCAGAAGACUUGGGCAAAUGGGAUGAACAAAGAAAACAAGAUACCGUACUAGAAUACAUAGCAGCAGACAAAUACUGCAACAAAAAAGUCAAGUUUGAGAAAACCAGAGAUGAUAACAUCCAGAAGUCCAUAUUAAAAAGUACCAAAACUACUCAAUGCAUGUUGUGACCCAGGUUCCUGGACCCGGACUCCUGGACUCGGAUGAUUCAGAAAGUGAGGGAGAAGAAGACCUGGCAAGCCCUGCUUCUCUUCAGCCCUUUCCCUCCCUGGCACCACUCAAAGGGAGGAGGAGGGGCCAGCAAAGCCUGAUUCCCUGGAGCCUUCUUCUGAUUUGGCAACGCCCCAAGAACAGCUUUGGAGUGAUGCAAGACUGCGCAGACGUGACCGGUGUGCGCAGCAGCGGAAGAGUUGGGACAAAGCCAAGUCAUAAUUGUCAUGCAGUGACAUCUGCAGAGACUAUAAAUAGGAGGCGGGACUUCCUGGUUUUUUGUCUUGGACAAAGCAAUGAAUUGGCGCGGGCUAACUGUCUCAAUGGAGGGAAGAAUAUAUUCGUGAGUAAUUCUGGCCUUAUCUAUAAUUUCCUCGUUAUCUCCAGAAACUUGGCAGGCCCGUGGGUAGACGUGGCCAGGACAUGUAUCUAUGUAAAUAAAAGGAGAAAAGAAGGCCUCUGACUGACUCUUUGCUGGGAGUAUUGGGGGGAG